UACGGGGGGGGGCAAGCGUUGUUCGGAAUUACUGGGCGUAAAGGGCCAGUAGGCGGCCAACUAAGUCGGACGUGAAAUCCCUCGGCUCAACCGGGGAACUGCGUCCGAUACUGGAUGGCUUGAGUUCGGGAGAGGGAUGCGGAAUUCCAGGUGUAGCGGUGAAAUGCGUAGAUAUCUGGAGGAACACCGGUGGCGAAGGCGGCAUCCUGGACCGACACUGACGCUGAGGAGCGAAAGCCAGGGGAGCAAACGGG
rnacentral:rRNA from 1 species